UGUGUAUUUGCCAAAUGUGCCGCUUCCAAUAAUUCCUUUGGAAGGAUUCCCUCUCAUCUUUCUUUUUUUUCCUCUAUUCGUAUUAAUAGUGCUAAGGAUCUCCCAUUUUUGUAGAGAGAGAGAUCGAGAGAGAAACCUUUUUUUAUGCACAUUGAAUGCUCAAAUGGCUGGCAAGAUGAAGUUAACGCUCUUUGGAUGAUCGACGGUGGUAGGUAAGUCAGUAGAUCGAGAGUGGGCGGAAGUGCGCGCAUGCACGAGACACCAAGUGAUGAGCUAGAAGAGAGGAAUCUUGGAGACCAAACAAGUGACAAGUGACAAGUGACAGCUUCCCUUCCUCUCUCCCUCACUCCCACUCUCUCUCUCUCUCUCUCUCUAUGUAUAUUUUAGUGAGAAGAUACCAAGAUAAGCCAACCCAUGUUCUUGAGGCUCGAGCUUGCUGCCAAGGAAUCAGGAGACAGGUCAAAAGAAGGUAACACCUGCAAACUCCAUAAUAUAUAUGUAAAAGAUUGUACCAAGAAGCUUUCAAGAUCAUGUCGGUGCUGUCUUCUUCUUCUUCAUCAUCUUAAGACCCUCAUCAUCAUAUAUAUUAGUAGUACUUGCUUCUUGUUUUCAAAUCAUCCAUUACAGCAAGUACCAUGAGAUUUUCAAGACUCGUUGUCUCUCUCUUUUUGGUUCUCUUUUACUAUUUGAUAUUUGUUUCUCAUGGCAAAUCAGAUUCCACUGAAAUGCUCGUGGGCUCUGCGCAGACUUCUGUAAAUGUGGGAAGAGCAGAGUGUAGCGAGGGGAUUGUUGAGUGCAAAGAAGGAAACGGUAGUUCGGAAGAGAAUGUUUUCGAGAAUGAAGAUUAUAUCUACACCAACUCUCUUCCUUGAAUAAUAUAUAUAUGACUUCUUUCUUGUACUGUAAAUUGGCUUUCAAGUUUCAACGGAUCAGUUUGUAGCGUGCAUGUACUCAUGAUCAUCCUGUUUAGAGCAAGCAAUAUAUAUAAAUACCUUCUUUUUCUUGUUGAGUAUAACAUCUUCAACAAGCAUAUAUAUACA